CGAUGUCGGCUCAUCGCAUCCUGGAGCUGAAGCAGGUUCCAAGGGUUGGGCUGUUCGCCCAUUAAAGCGGUACGCGAGCUGGGUUCAGAACGUCGUGAGACAGUUCGGUCCCUAUCCGUCGUGGGCGUAGGAUAUUUGAGAGGAGCUGUCCUUAGUACGAGAGGACCGGGAUGGACGGACCGCUGGUGCAUCUGUUAGACUGCCAAGUCUAUAGCAGAGUAGCCAAGUCUGGAUUUGAUAAACGCUGAAGGCAUCUAAGCGUGAAACAGACCUCAAGAUAAGAUAUCCCAUUCGAAAGAAGUAAGACCCCUUAUAGACGAUGAGGUUGAUAGGUUGGAGGUGGAAGUAUGGUGACAUACGUAGCUGACCAAUACUAAUGGUUCGAGGGUUUGACCUG
rnacentral:ncRNA from 1 species